CAGUCGCCACGGGAAUACGGAGGGUGCAGGCGUUAAUCGGAAUUACUGGGCGUAAAGCGCACGCAGGCGGUUUGUUAAGUCAGAUGUGAAAUCCCCGAGCUUAACUUGGGAACUGCAUUUGAAACUGGCAAGCUAGAGUCUUGUAGAGGGGGGUAGAAUUCCAGGUGUAGCGGUGAAAUGCGUAGAGAUCUGGAGGAAUGCCGGUGGCGAAGGCGGCCCCCUGGACAAAGACUGACGCUCAGGUGCGAAAGCGUGGGGAGCAAACAGGAUUAGAUACCCCGGUAGUCCCUGUCUCUUAUAU
rnacentral:rRNA from 1 species